GACGAACCGAGCGAACGUUGUUCGGAAUCACUGGGCUUAAAGGGCGCGUAGGCGGGUGCUCAAGUCUGUGGUGAAAUCCUCCAGCUCAACUGGAGAACUGCCAUGGAUACUGGGUGUCUCGAGGAAGAUAGGGGUAUGCGGAACGAUUGGUGGAGCGGUGAAAUGCGUUGAUAUCAAUCGGAACUCCGGUGGCGAAGGCGGCAUACUGGAUCUUAUCUGACGCUGAGGCGCGAAAGCUAGGGGAGCAAACGGG
rnacentral:rRNA from 1 species